rnacentral:rRNA from 1 species
CCUACGGGGGGCAGCAGUGGGGAAUAUUGGACAAUGGGGGAAACCCUGAUCCAGCGACGCCGCGUGAGUGAAGAAGUAUUUCGGUACGUAAAGCUCUAUCAGCAGGAAAGAAAAUGACGGUACCUGACUAAGAAUCCCCGGCUAACUACGUGCCAGCAGCCGCGGUAAUACGUAGGGGGCAAGCGUGAUCCGGAUUUACUGGGUGUAAAGGGAGCGUAGACGGCAGCACAAGUCUGGAGUGAAAUCCCGGGGCUUAACCCCGGAACUGCUUUGGAAACUGUGCGGCUGGAGUGCAGGAGGGGUAAGCGGAAUUCCUAGUGUAGCGGUGAAAUGCGUAGAUAUUAGGAGGAACACCGGUGGCGAAGGCGGCUUACUGGACUGUAACUGACGUUGAGGCUCGAAAGCGUGGGGAGCAAACAGGAUUAGAUACCCUGGUAGUC